GUCAGGAUAGCUCAGUGUAGAGCAG
rnacentral:tRNA from 3 species